rnacentral:tRNA from 1 species
AGGAAUUUAGGUUAAACUAGACCAAGAGCCUUCAAAGCUCUAAGUAAAUGAACACACAUUUAAUUCCUG